GAGCGGUAAGGCCUUUCGGGGUACACGAGCGGCGAACGGGUGAGUAACACGUGGGUGAUCUGCCCUGCACUUCGGGAUAAGCCUGGGAAACUGGGUCUAAUACCGGAUAUGACCUCCUAUCGCAUGGUGGGUGGUGGAAAGAUUUAUCGGUGCAGGAUGGGCCCGCGGCCUAUCAGCUUGUUGGUGGGGUAAUGGCCUACCAAGGCGACGACGGGUAGCCGACCUGAGAGGGUGACCGGCCACACUGGGACUGAGACACGGCCCAGACUCCUACGGGAGGCAGCAGUGGGGAAUAUUGCACAAUGGGCGAAAGCCUGAUGCAGCGACGCCGCGUGAGGGAUGACGGCCUUCGGGUUGUAAACCUCUUUCAGCAGGGACGAAGCGCAAGUGACGGUACCUGCAGAAGAAGCACCGGCUAACUACGUGCCAGCAGCCGCGGUAAUACGUAGGGUGCAAGCGUUGUCCGGAAUUACUGGGCGUAAAGAGUUCGUAGGCGGUUUGUCGCGUCGUUUGUGAAAACCAGCAGCUCAACUGCUGGCUUGCAGGCGAUACGGGCAGACUUGAGUACUGCAGGGGAGACUGGAAUUCCUGGUGUAGCGGUGAAAUGCGCAGAUAUCAGGAGGAACACCGGGUGGCGAAGGCGGGUCUCUGGGCAGUACUGACGCUGAGGAACGAAGCGUGGGUAGCGAACAGA
rnacentral:rRNA from 1 species